rnacentral:rRNA from 1 species
UAGGGAAUCUUCGGCAAUGGACGGAAGUCUGACCGAGCAACGCCGCGUGAGUGAAGAAGGUUUUCGGAUCGUAAAGCUCUGUUGUAAGAGAAGAACGAGUGUGAGAGUGGAAAGUUCACACUGUGACGGUAACUUACCAGAAAGGGACGGCUAACUACGUGCCAGCAGCCGCGGUAAUACGUAGGUCCCGAGCGUUGUCCGGAUUUAUUGGGCGUAAAGCGAGCGCAGGCGGUUAGAUAAGUCUGAAGUUAAAGGCUGUGGCUUAACCAUAGUACGCUUUGGAAACUGUUUAACUUGAGUGCAGAAGGGGAGAGUGGAAUUCCAUGUGUAGCGGUGAAAUGCGUAGAUAUAUGGAGGAACACCGGUGGCGAAAGCGGCUCUCUGGUCUGUAACUGACGCUGAGGCUCGAAAGCGUGGGGAGCAAACAGGAUUAGAUACCCUGGUAGUCCACGCCGUAAACGAUGAGUGCUAGGUGUUGGGUCCUUUCCGGGACUCAGUGCCGCAGCUAACGCAUUAAGCACUCCGCCUGGGGAGUACGACCGCAAGGUUG